rnacentral:rRNA from 1 species
UACGUAGGGUGCGAGCGUUGUCCGGAAUUACUGGGCGUAAAGAGUUCGUAGGCGGUUUGUCGCGUCGGUCGUGAAAACUUGGGGCUUAACUCCAAGCGUGCGGGCGAUACGGGCAGACUUGAGUACUGCAGGGGAGACUGGAAUUCCUGGUGUAGCGGUGAAAUGCGCAGAUAUCGGGAAGAACACCUAUGGCGAAGGCAGCGCUCUGGGACGGUACUGACGCUGAGACGCGAAAGCGUGGGGAGCGAACAGG